rnacentral:rRNA from 1 species
CCUACGGGUGGCAGCAGUGAGGCAUAUUGGUCAAUGGACGCAAGUCUGAACCAGCCAUGCCGCGUGCAGGAAGACGGCUCUAUGAGUUGUAAACUGCUUUUGUACGAGGGUAAACUCAGAUACGCGUAUCUGUCUGAAAGUAUCGUACGAAUAAGGAUCGGCUAACUCCGUGCCAGCAGCCGCGGUAAUACGGAGGAUUCAAGCGUUAUCCGGAUUUAUUGGGUUUAAAGGGUGCGUAGGCGGUCGGAUAAGUUAGAGGUGAAAUCCCGAGGCUCAACUUCGGAAUUGCCUCUGAUACUGUUAGGCUAGAGUGUAGUUGCGGUAGGCGGAAUGUAUGGUGUAGCGGUGAAAUGCUUAGAGAUCAUACAGAACACCGAUUGCGAAGGCAGCUUACCAAGCUACGUCUGACGUUGAGGCACGAAAGCGUGGGGAGCAAACAGGAUUAGAUACCCUUGUAGUC